rnacentral:lncRNA from 1 species
UGCGAAGUGUGCGGAUUACUUUUUUUUCCUGUGCACGGGGCGUGUUGUGGGGGUGCGGGGUGACUUAUAGGUUCGGGGGGAGGGAGGAAUUAGGGGGCUUGAAAUUCAGUUCCCUGUUUCUCUAUUUAUUUCUCAUUUGAAAUUAUGCAGAUUGACUCUCCUUUCCUUCCCUCCUAGGGGGCAAAUCCUCGAACGCGAACCUGAUCUCAUGUCACAGAAGCAACUUGCCAUGAAAUCCGCUAAUGCGCCGCGACUCGCCCACCAGGAUAAAUAACCCCAUCGUCCGUGUAAUUAGCCCGUUCCCAAUGAAGUCAUUUUCCUCGAAUGCACUCUCUGCUUGCCACACUGGAGGAAUCCAGCCCACAGAGGUUUCGGAAACCCAGUUUGAGUGAUUCCAGCCUAGACUGAAACCCUGCGAACCUCCCAGGAAAGAGAGCCCGGCCCGGGCCAAGCAGUCGGACACACACACACACACACACACACACACACACACACACCCCCCGACGGUGUAGCUCUUCACAGGAUGGAAGGCUGGAUACGGAUCUGGGAGGCUGUGGCUAAGCGAACCAGGAAGACUGUGAGGGAAACCAAUACAGCAGUGUCAUCUUGAAAGUUAUUUGGAAGAACAGGACCUGGAGUCUGGGUUUGAAUCAAAAAAUUAUGAGCAAGGGACAGAUUACCCAGUAUUUCUUUGGAGCCAGACAGAACUGAGACCUGCCCAGCUGAACCAGCUUGGUUUGGAUUAGGAAAUUAUUCUCAGACACAGUAGCACACACAUCCUCUGACAGCGAGCUCACUCCUGGGCAGUGGGCUUCUGGCUCUGCCACUGCUCUCCACAACCACCCUACAGGCCUCCUCCAGGUUUUGCCAGGCAAAUGAAACGAGCGGAACUCGAUAGUAAAUUAUUUUGUUCAGCUUUCUCUCUUUUUAUGAAAAUAAAAGGCAACACUUUGUCAUUUUUAAUCACAUAAGCAGAAAAUAAAUCUAAUUUUGAUAUUGAUUAUUUUCCAGAAUCCGGUGAUUUUUUGUAGUGGCUGUUGUGUUUCCUUUCUGAAGAACGGCUGUUUUCUUGUAGACAGUGUGGCAAUGGGGCUGCCUCUAUGCAGGCUGGUGCUUAUCUGAAACACGUUGUGGACUUUGAAGCCAGAUAGCUGACAAGGGAUUCUUCCUGAGUGGCAGGAAGUUUGGAUUUUGUCUGAGACAGUGAUUUGAAUGGGCCGCCCCGGUGCCCUAGACUAGAUGUAAGGCUUUGACAGUGCUUUUAGGGGUUACAGCAUUUGAGAUUGACAGGUUUAAGUUUUUCUCA